rnacentral:rRNA from 1 species
AUUGAACGCUGGCGGCAGGCCUAACACCUGCAAGUCGAGCGCGGGGCGGACGGGUGAGUAAUGUAUGGGGAUCUGUCUUAUGGCGGGGGAUAACUACUGGAAGCGGUCGCUAAUACCGCAUACCAUCAGGUGCACCCAGAUGGGAGUAGCUUGUCGGUGGGGUAAUGGCGCACCUAGCCGACGAUCACUAGCUGGUCUGAGAGGAUGCCCAGCCACAGUGGAACUGAGCAACGGUCCAGACUCCUACGGGAGGCAGCAGUGGGGAAUAUUGCGCAAUGGGCGCAAGCCUGAUGCAGCCAUGCCGCGUGUGUGAAGAAGGCCUUCGGGUGGUAAAGCACUUUCAGCGAGGAGGCGUUACCGACAGAAGAAGCACCGGCUAACUCCGUGCCAGCAGCCGCGGUAAUUC